GACGAGGGGUCCAAGCGUUGUUCGGAAUCAUUGGGCGUAAAGCGGGUGUAGGUGGCUUUGUAAGUCAGGAGUGAAAUCCCCGAGCUUAACUUGGGAAGUGCUUUUGAAACUGCAGAGCUUGAAUGUGGGAGAGGAUCGUGGAAUUCCAGGUGUAGUGGUGAAAUACGUAGAUAUCUGGAGGAACACCGGUGGCGAAGGCGGCGUUCUGGACUGCUACUGACACUGAGGAACGAAAGCCAGGGGAGCAAACGGG
rnacentral:rRNA from 1 species